AAUAGAGUUGGAAUUUGUGUAGAUCUCGGCGAAAUGAAGCUGCUAGGAUGGUGGUUGAUGCUAGUGGGUUCGCUCCGAUUAGCUUCCGUUUGGUUUGGAUUCUUCGACAUAUGGGCAUUGAGGCUCGCCGUCUUCUCAAACACUACCAUGACUGAAGUUCAUGGAAGGACAUUCGGAGUGUGGACUCUCCUAACUUGUACCCUUUGCAUUCUCUGUGCAUUCAACCUUGAGAAUAAGCCCAUUUAUUUGGCGACAUUUUUGUCAUUCAUCUAUGCUUUGGGGCAUUUCUUAACUGAAUACUUGAUAUAUCAUACCAUGUCCAUUGCAAAUCUGAUGACGGUUGGCAUCUUUGCAGGCACAUCAAUAAUAUGGAUGCUGCUCCAGUGGAAUUCACACCAAAGAGUUCGCCCCAAACAUUCUUAAUAUGAGUAGAUGCUCAAAUUUAAUCUGCGAACUUAUUUUCUUCGAUCCAGGGCACUGAAUAAACAAAGAACAUUAGAUUAGCCUUGAAACACCUUCAACAUCAUUGUCUGCCCAAUAUUAUUUAACCUGCUUUUGUUGGUUCGGUAUAAUACCAUGCUGAUGAUGACGCUCUUCCAGCUUGUACCGAAAAUGGAACUAAUUGAGCUGCCAUCACAAGGAAACAAGCCAUUUGCUUUAUGAGUAUGAGUACAUGCGUUGCUUUUUGUGGGACAACAGGAAGGAAUUGGCUUGCGGAAUUGACAGGCCCUGACCUCCUCCCGCAGCAGCAUGGUGGAUCGAUCAUAUCAUGUGUAAGUCAUCAUUUCCCCCAUCUCUUCCAAAAUUAUUCUGUAAGUCAUUUCAAUGUUUUAACGCUCUGAUGGAUGUGAUAUCCAAGUAAAGUUAUCCACGCGUUCAAAGAAAAUAAACCUGCACUUGAUUUGAAAUCACCCACUUUUGUUGCUUCCCAUAUAAUAAGUUAAAGUUGUUUGGAA